rnacentral:rRNA from 1 species
GCUCAGAGUGAACGCUGGCGGUAGGCCUAACACAUGCAAGUCGAACGGCAGCACAGGAGAGCUUGCUCUCUGGGUGGCGAGUGGCGGACGGGUGAGGAAUACAUCGGAAUCUACUUUUUCGUGGGGGAUAACGUAGGGAAACUUACGCUAAUACCGCAUACGACCUACGGGUGAAAGCAGGGGAUCUUCGGACCUUGCGCGAUUGAAUGAGCCGAUGUCGGAUUAGCUAGUUGGCGGGGUAAAGGCCCACCAAGGCGACGAUCCGUAGCUGGUCUGAGAGGAUGAUCAGCCACACUGGAACUGAGACACGGUCCAGACUCCUACGGGAGGCAGCAGUGGGGAAUAUUGGACAAUGGGCGCAAGCCUGAUCCAGCCAUACCGCGUGGGUGAAGAAGGCCUUCGGGUUGUAAAGCCCUUUUGUUGGGAAAGAAAUCCAGCUGGCUAAUACCCGGUUGGGAUGACGGUACCCAAAGAAUAAGCACCGGCUAACUUCGUGCCAGCAGCCGCGGUAAUACGAAGGGUGCAAGCGUUACUCGGAAUUACUGGGCGUAAAGCGUGCGUAGGUGGUCGUUUAAGUCCGUUGUGAAAGCCCUGGGCUCAACCCUGGGAACUGCAGUGGAUACUGGGCGANGUAGAGUGUGGUAGAGGGUAGCAGGAU